rnacentral:rRNA from 1 species
CGCAGUAUCGAAGCUAACGCGUUAAGUUCGCCGCCUGGGGAGUACGGUCGCAAGACUGAAACUCAAAGGAAUUGACGGGGGCCCGCACAAGCGGUGGAGUAUGUGGUUUAAUUCGAUGCAACGCGAAGAACCUUACCUGGCCUUGACAUGUCGAGAACUUUCCAGAGAUGGAUUGGUGCCUCCGGGAACUCGAACACAGGUGCUGCAUGGCUGUCGUCAGCUCGUGUCGUGAGAUGCUGGGUUAAGUCCCGCAACGAGCGCAACCCUUGUCCUUAGUUGCCAGCACGUAAUGGUGGGAACUCUAAGGAGACCGCCGGUGACAAACCGGAGGAAGGUGGGGAUGACGUCAAGUCAUCAUGGCCCUUACGGCCAGGGCUACACACGUACUACAAUGGUAGGGACAGAGGGCUGCAAGCCGGCGACGGUAAGCCAAUCCCAGAAACCCUAUCUCAGUCCGGAUUGGAGUCUGCAACUCGACUCCAUGAGGUCGGAAUCGCUAGUAAUCGCAGAUCAGCAUUGCUGCGGUGAAUACGUUCCCGGGCCUUGUACACACCGCCCGUCACACCAUGGGAGUUUGUUGCACCAGAAGCAGGUAGCUUAACCUUCGGGAGGGCGCUUGCCACGGUGUGGCCGAUGACUGGGGUGAAGUCGUAACAAGGUAGCCGUAUCGGAAGGUGCGGCUGGAUCACCUCCUU